UGGUGUUUGGGUUAGAUUUUCAAUAUUUGGUCGAUAAACGUACAAAUAUCAGAAAUCAAGAAUUUGUCUCCAGGUAGCCUGCGAACAGGCUCUCAAGCUGAAUUGAGAGCCUGCAUCGAUAACUAAUGAAUUUGAAUAUCUGCCCCGUAACGUUCGUUUUUCCAAAUAUGGAAUGUCUAUCCUUAUAUGGUGUUGUUUACAACUUUCAUGCAAACUAAAUUUAGACCGUGCAAACUAAAUUAGACCGUACAGUUUAUACAGUUUUUCGAAAUAUAAGAUAUUCAAGCGAAAGUUCAAAUGUUUUAAAUACUGUUUUCUCAAAACAGAAUAUUUCGUGCUUUGAGAUAAGACGGCCAAGACCAAUUUGAUCAGUUAAUGUGUUUUUUUAUUUUAUGCAUAGUGCUGCUUGAGCAGUUGACAUAUAUAGAGCUCAGCGGAAACAUAUAAAUUACAGCAUCUGACCAAUGAGAAUUUCGCGUCACGAUUUGAGACGCAGAUAUUCAAAUUCAUUAGUCAUCGAUGCAGGCUCUCAAUUCAGCUUGAGAGCCUGUUCGCAGGCUAGUCUCCAGGAGGCUAUAAUUAGCCGCAGACAAAGCCGCUGCCAUGGUCAGUUUCAUCACUUCGCGACGG